GAUGAAGAACGUAGCGAAAUGCGAUAAGUAAUGUGAAUUGCAGAAUUCAGUGAAUCAUCGAAUCUUUGAACGCACCUUGCGCCCUUUGGCCAUUCCGAAGGGCAUGCCUGUUUGAGUAUCAUGAACACCUCAACUCUUUAUGGUUUUCCAUGAUGAGCUUGGACUCUGGGGGUUUUGCUGGCUCACAGUCGGCUCCUCUAAAAUGAAUCAGCUUACCAGUGUUUGGUGGGUAUCAUGGGUGUGAUAACUAUCUACGCUUGUGGUCUUUCCACCAGGUAACCUUCAGCAGUGGAGGUUCGCUGGAGCUCAUAGAUGUCUCUCCUCAGUGAGGACAGCCCUUUGAAUGUUUGAUCUCAAAUCAGGUAGGACUACCCGCUGAACUUAAGCAUAUCAAUAAGCGGAGGA
rnacentral:misc_RNA from 1 species